rnacentral:rRNA from 1 species
AUUGAACGCUGGCGGCAGGCCUAACACAUGCAAGUCGAGCGGAUGAAGGGAGCUUGCUCCUGGAUUCAGCGGCGGACGGGUGAGUAAUGCCUAGGAAUCUGCCUGGUAGUGGGGGAUAACGUCCGGAAACGGGCGCUAAUACCGCAUACGUCCUGAGGGAGAAAGUGGGGGAUCUUCGUACCUCACGCUAUCAGAUGAGCCUAGGUCGGAUUAGCUAGUUGGUGGGGUAAAGGCCUACCAAGGCGACGAUCCGUAACUGGUCUGAGAGGAUGAUCAGUCACACUGGAACUGAGACACGGUCCAGACUCCUACGGGAGGAAGCAGUGGGGAAUAUUGGACAAUGGGCGAAAGCCUGAUCCAGCCAUGCCGCGUGUGUGAAGAAGGUCUUCGGAUUGUAAAGCACUUUAAGUUGGGAGGAAGGGCAGUAAGUUAAUACCUUGCUGUUUUGACGUUACCAACAGAAUAAGCACCGGCUAACUUCGUG